rnacentral:rRNA from 1 species
UACGGAGGGUGCGAGCGUUGUCCGGAAUCACUGGGCGUAAAGGGCGCGUAGGCGGCUUGGUAAGGGGGCGGUGAAAGCCCGGGGCUCAACCCCGGGUCUGCCGGACCGACUGCCGAGCUUGAGCACACUAGGGGCAGGUGGAAUUCCGGGUGUAGCGGUGGAAUGCGUAGAGAUCCGGAAGAACACCGGUGGCGAAGGCGGCCUGCCGGGGUGUGGCUGACGCUGAGACGCGAAAGCGUGGGGAGCAAACAGG